AAUACUCGGUUGUGUGUCUCCGUUCGAGACUACUACUGUUACAAAAUCCAGAUGCAUCGUGGGAUAUUCAAUCCCAUAUUAUACGGCAAGCGUCUUUUCCAGUAAUUUGUGGUUGACAUGUACAUGAAGAUUGAGGGUGCAAGGCUUGACUGCAUCCGGGGUCACCAGAAGGAGAUACGUGUCGAUCUUUACAAGGGAGUUGUUGAUAGCAUAAAUGCUGGCGAAAGUCGUGCUGAUGCGGUAGGCAAAAGGACGGUACUCCCGGCAAAAUUCAUCGGGGGAAAGCAAGGCAUGAAGCGACGGUUCAUGGAUGCAAUGGCCCUGGUUCAGAAGUACGGGAAGCCCGACAUCUUCCUAACGAUGACGCGCGACCCCAACUGCGAAGAGAUAACAUGUGAGCUUGAACCUGGAUAG
rnacentral:rRNA from 1 species